GGCAACAGCUCAAAUUUGAAAUCUGGCCUCUUCGGGGUCCGAGUUGUAAUUUGUAGAGGAUGUUUCGGGUACCGCCCCGGUUUAAAUUUCUUGGAACAGAAUGUCAAAGAGGGUGAGAAUCCCGUCUUGGACCGGUGGUAGGGCCCAUGUGAAACUCCUUCGACGAGUCGAGUUGUUUGGGAAUGCAGCUCAAAAUGGGUGGUAAAUUUCAUCUAAAGCUAAAUAUUGGCCAGAGACCGAUAGCGCACAAGUAGAGUGAUCGAAAGAUGAAAAGCACUUUGAAAAGAGAGUUAAACAGUAUGUGAAAUUGUUGAAAGGGAAGCGCUUACAACCAGACUUGCGCGCGGCGGUUCCCCCUUCCUUUUGGUUGGGUUACUCCACCGUGUCCAGGCCCACAUCGGUUCUGGGGGCCGGUUAAAGGCUCUGGGAAUGUAUCUACCCUUCGGGCGUAGACUUAUAGCCCAGAGUGUCAUGCGGCCUCCCGGGACCGAGGAACGCGCUUCGGCUCGGAUGUUGUCGUAAUGGUUGUCAGCGACCCG
rnacentral:rRNA from 1 species